rnacentral:rRNA from 1 species
AGUCUGGUGCCAGCAGCCGCGGUAAUUCCAGCUCCAAUAGCGUAUAUUAAAGUUGUUGCAGUUAAAAAGCUCGUAGUUGAAUUUCGGGAUCAAUAUAUCGGUCGUGCCUUGGUACGUACUGGUAUCAUUGGUUUCUCCUUUCUGACGAACCAUGAUGUCAUUAAUUUGGUGUUAUGGGAAGUUAGGACUGUUACUUUGAAAAAAUUAGAGUGUUUAAAGCAGGCUUUAGCUUGAAUACAUUAGCAUGGAAUAAUGAAAUAGGACGUUCGAACCUAUUUUGUUGGUUUCUAGGAUCAACGUAAUGAUUAAUAGGGAUAGUUGGGGGCAUUAGUAUUCAAUUGUCAGAGGUGAAAUUCUUGGAUUUAUUGAAGACUAACUACUGCGAAAGCAUUUGCCAAGCAUGUUUUCAUUAAUCAAGAACGAAAGUUAGGGGAUCGAAGACGAUCAGAUACCGUCGUAGUCUUAACCAUAAACUAUGCCGACUAGGGAUCGGAUGAUGUUAAUUUUUUAAUGACUCAUUCGGCGCCUUACGGGAAACCAAAGUGUUUGGGUUCCGGGGGGAGUAUGGUCGCAAGGCUGAAACUUAAAGGAAUUGACGGAAGGGCACCACCAGGGGUGGAGCCUGCGGCUUAAUUUGACCCAACACGGGGAAACUCACCAGGUCCAGACAUAGUAAGGAUUGACAGAUUGAGAGCUCUUUCUUGAUUCUAUGGGUGGUGGUGCAUGGCCUUUCUUAGUUGGUGGAGUGAUUUGUCUGGUUAAUUCCGUUAACGAACGAGACCUUAACCUGCUAAAUAGCUAGGCUUAACUUUGUUAGGUCGUCAGCUUCUUAGAGGGACUAUCGGUGUUUAACCGAUGUAAGUUUGAGGCAAUAACAGGUCUGUGAUCCCCUUAGAUGUUCUGGGCCGCACGCGCGCUACACUGAUGAAGUCAACGAGUUCAUUUCCUUUAUCGGAAGAUAUGGGUAAUCUUUUGAAACUUCAUCGUGCUGGGGAUAGAGCAUUGCAAUUAUUGCUCUUCAACGAGGAAUCCCUAGUAAGCACAAGUCAUCAGCUUGUGCUGAUUACGUCCCUGCCCUUUGUACACACCGCCCGUCGCUACUACCGAUUGAAUGGCUUAGUGAGACCCUCGGAUUGACGUUCAUCGGCUGUAAAAGGCUCUUGUCCGUUGAAAAGUUGGUCAAACUUGGUCAUUUAGAGGAAGUAAAAGUC